ncrna:unclassified sequences SAM-I/IV variant riboswitch
UAGAGGUAUGAGGAUUGCCUCGCUAACCCGAAGGUGAGGCUGCCAACCGAGCACGUGCCACGGUGGCCGAAUCUUAAUGAGAUUCCAUAUGUUGGAUUAACCAAAAAAAGGAGCCCUAUGC